CUAAUAAAAAUCCAAGUUACUUCUUGCUCUCGUUUGAGCAAGGAACUUUUUUUUGAAGAUAAUGAUGGCGUGCCAAAGCCCUCUGUCUACCUCUUACCGAUUUUCUUGCGCCUGUAAAUCUUAUCACUCUGCGGUUCCUUCUACCCCUUCUCCCCUUCUUUCUCGGCACACUGUCUUCUCCUGCUCCCGGGUUUUCUCGCCACCCUCUGACCGCUCAUCCAACGUCUCUCUCACUUUGAAACUUGGUCACUCUUAUCCUCAUAGGACAUCAAAAGCACCACUCUCCUCUGCUCGCAUCCCCUUCAAGGCAGUGGAAUACGUUUUUCCUGAUCCAAUUCCCGAAUUUGCGGAAGCUGUGAGUUGCAGUCCUCUUUUUUGCUCUGCGGAGACGAGUAAGUUUAGGGCUCAUCUUCUCGAGAGGUUGUCGAAGAAGGAUAUAUUUGACGAUUCUCUGGAAGAAAUAGUGCGUAUCUGUACAGAGAUAUUGAGCAACUUUUUGCAUACUGAAUAUGGUGGUCCUGGGACUCUCCUUGUCGUCCCCUUCAUCGACAUGGCUGAUACUAUCAAUGAAAGAGGACUACCUGGAGGACCUCAAGCCGCACGUGCGGCAGUCUUAUGGGCACAAAAGCAUAUUGAUAAAGACUGGAAAGAUUGGACUGGAGAUCCCAAUCUCUGAAUAAAGUUUUCUCUUUUGCGGAGGUGGGGGAAAAUGAAUUAAGUUUUUCAACUGAGAUUGGUAUUUGGGGCAAGGAUGAAUAUAUUGCAUCCCUCAUUCCCUACAUGGCGGCUCUUAGCAACAUUAACUUUAUAUGACGGCAGUCCACAACCUGGGAAUCUGGUGGCUUUGUGGAUGCAAUUUCCCAUUUUUGAGCCUUAUGGUGAAUUUUGGUGGCUUCUGCCGUCAUUUGCUUUCUCUGCUGCUGUGUUAUUUUCGGUUCAUCUUUUGCCCGGUGUAUAUUUUUACACUUUUUUUAUGAGCUUUUGCUCAUUGUUCUUUCCUAUAGUUUUUUAGUUCUAUACUUUUGUUUUUGAUUGUUUACUCAAUCUCUCACUUGUAAUUAUUUUCUUAUAAAUGGAAGUUGAGCUCAGCCCUUAAUUAAAAAAAAAA